UACGAAGGGUGCAAACGUUGCUCGGAAUUAUUGGGCGUAAAAGCGCACGUAGGCGGUUCGUUAAGUCGGAUGUGAAAGCCCUCGGCUCAACUGAGGAAGUGCACCCGAAACUGGCGAGCUUGAGUACGAAAGAGGAUCGCGGAAUUCCCGGUGUAGAGGUGAAAUUCGUAGAUAUCGGGAGGAACACCGGUGGCGAAGGCGGCGAUCUGGGUCGAUACUGACGCUGAGGUGCGAAAAGCGUG
rnacentral:rRNA from 1 species